GGUAUCGCCGUUAGUCAUGUGCAAAUAUGGAUAGCUGUUUUAGCCGUCUUUAUUGACUGGUUUAUAAGAGUUAUCAGAUAUCACUUUGAUUAAAUUAGAGUGCUUAAAGCAAGUGUGUUACUUGGAUAUAAAUGCAUGGAAUGAUGGAAUAUGUUGUUAUUCUAUUUGUUGGUUUUUGAAUGAUAAAAUGAUUGAAAGGAACUGUUGGGGGCAUUUGUAUUGUUGUGAGAGAGGUGAAAUUCUUAGACCACAGCAAGACGAACUACUGCGAAAGCAUUUGCCAAGAAUGUUUCCAUUGAUCAAGAACGAAAGUUAGAGGUUCGAAGGCGAUCAGAUACCGCCCUAGUUCUAACCAUAAACUAUGCCAACUAGCAAUUUGCUUUGUAUUUUUUAUGACUAAGUGAGAGGCCACGGGAAACCUAAGUAGGGUUAUGGGGGAAGUAUGGUUGCAAAGCUGAAACUUAAAGGAAUUGACGGAAGGGCACCACCAGGAGUGGAGCCCUGCGGCUUAAUUUGACUCAACACGGGAAAACUUACCUGGUCCUGACACUAGAAGGAUUGACAGAUUGAUAGCUCUUUCUUGAUUUGGUGGAUGGUGGUGCAUGGCCGUUCUUAGUUGGUGGAGUGAUUUGUCUGGUUAAUUCCGAUAACGAACGAGACUCUAGCCUAUUAAAUAAUACACGGAAUUUUAUCUUCCGCGGUAUUUCUUAGUGGGAUCAAGCG
rnacentral:rRNA from 1 species